rnacentral:rRNA from 1 species
CCUACGGGUGGCAGCAGUGGGGAAUAUUGGACAAUGGGGGCAACCCUGAUCCAGCCAUGCCGCGUGUGUGAAGAAGGCCCUCGGGUUGUAAAGCACUUUCAGUGAGGAAGAACGCCUGGUGGUUAAUACCCAUCAGGAAAGACAUCACUCACAGAAGAAGCACCGGCUAACUCCGUGCCAGCAGCCGCGGUAAUACGGAGGGUGCGAGCGUUAAUCGGAAUUACUGGGCGUAAAGCGCGCGUAGGUGGCUUGAUAAGCCGGUUGUGAAAGCCCCGGGCUCAACCUGGGAACGGCAUCCGGAACUGUCAAGCUAGAGUGCAGGAGAGGAAGGUAGAAUUCCCGGUGUAGCGGUGAAAUGCGUAGAGAUCGGGAGGAAUACCAGUGGCGAAGGCGGCCUUCUGGACUGACACUGACACUGAGGUGCGAAAGCGUGGGUAGCAAACAGGAUUAGAUACCCGAGUAGUC